AUGGACAAGUACGCCAUUCACAUCCUUGCAGUAGCUCUUCUGUUGCAUCUCGUAUGCUAUGCUUCUGUUGUGCAAUGCCGAACCAUCACCGACGUAGACAAUGAGAAGGUCAAACUACCAUAUGGGUUCUGCGGCAUAGAAAAGUGGUGCACCGGUGCUUGCUUCUGUUGCUUCACAACUCCGUAUUGCUACAGUUCAAAGGAUGAGUGCCUGCAAAAUUGUAAAAAUUCCAGGCCUUCAGAAAGUAUACUAGCGGCAAAGAAAACCACUCCUUUACCUGAUUCUUCAACAGCAUAG
rnacentral:rRNA from 1 species